rnacentral:rRNA from 1 species
AUUGAACGCUGGCGGCAGGCCUAACACAUGCAAGUCGAACGGUAGCACAGAGAGCUUGCUCUCGGGUGACGAGUGGCGGACGGGUGAGUAAUGUCUGGGAAACUGCCCGAUGGAGGGGGAUAACUACUGGAAACGGUAGCUAAUACCGCAUAACGUCGCAAGACCAAAGUGGGGGACCUUCGGGCCUCACACCAUCGGAUGUGCCCAGAUGGGAUUAGCUAGUAGGUGGGGUAAUGGCUCACCUAGGCGACGAUCCCUAGCUGGUCUGAGAGGAUGAACAGCCACACUGGAACCGAGACACGGUCAAGACUCCUACGGGAGGCAGCAGUGGGGAAUAUUGCACAAUGGGCGCAAGCCUGAUGCAGCCAUGCCGCGUGUAUGAAGAAGGCCUUCGGGUUGUAAAGUACAUUCAGCGGGGAGGAAGGCGGUGAAGUUAAUAACUUCACCGAUUGACGUUACCCGCAGAAGAAGCACCGGCUAACUCCGUGCCAGCAGCCGCGGUAA